GUUAUUAUUUCUUAACGCACCAGCAGGGUCAGCUGCUGCGCUGCAGGGCCGGCCCUCCCCACCGACCUCCCCAGGGGAACGGCCCCCUCUUCAAACCCCGCCCGCGGGGCCCCGCUCCCCGCCUGGGACCCUGCCAGGCCUGGCGAGGGCAGCGCGGCGGGAGGAGGUCUCCCGGUACGCCCCUCCUCUCCGGGCAGCCCUGAAGAACCAGGGCCGGGGCACGUUUCCGCGCACAGCGGCCGAGCGGUCCCGCCCCGAGGCGGGGAAGAGAGGGGCGGGAGAUGGGGGGGGGGGGGGGAACCCUUUCGUGCCCCGGAACCUUCUUGCCGCCCCUCCCGUUUCCUGCCGGAGCAGCGCGCCGCCGGUCGCUAUGGCAGCGGGACCGUGGGGCUGGGGGCCGGCGGUGUUGCUGGUGCUGCUGUUGGCGCUGCUGCUCGGUGGCGCGCGCCGCCUGCGGCGCCGUUACGCGGCCGGCGGGGCUGGCCCCUCCCUGAGGGGAAGGGGAAGGGCGGCGGCGGCGGCGCGGGCGGAUGGCGUCCGCGCGUUGCUGGUGACGGCGCACCCCGAUGACGAAGUGAUGUUCUUCGCCCCCACGGUGCUCGGCUUGGGCAGGGCCGGCGCCCACGCCGCGGUGCUGUGCUGCUCCGCAGGAAAUUAUUACAAUCAAGGAGAAAUUCGUAAGAAAGAGCUGGAACAGAGUUGUUUUCUUCUGGGAAUUCCUGCUUCCGAUGUAACAGUCGUUGAUCACAGGGAUCUUCCAGAUAAUCCUGCUGUUGAAUGGGACACACAGCUCCUUGCUGCCUUCGUGCUAAAGCAUAUAGAAGCCAAUAACAUCAACCUGGUGGUAACCUUUGAUGCAGGAGGAGUGAGUGGUCAUGCUAACCACAUUUCUCUUUACACUGCUUUAAGACAGUGCAGGGAUCAAAGCACAGAGCCACAGAGCAGCUCUGUCAACUGGAAGAUCUCUGCAUCAACACCUUUUUUUCUGACUGGCAGAAGCAUCUUUUGCCACUGCAAUAUGCGUACCUGCAUUCAGAGCAGAAGUUACCUGAAGGGUGCUGUGUGUUCGUGCUUGAAUCAGUAAAUCUCUUCCGGAAGUACAUCUCUGUCCUGGAUGUACCCGUUUCCUGCCUCCUGCCCAGUGAUGCACUCUUCAUACUCACAGAGGAGGAGACUGAACAAGCCAGGAGAGCCAUGCGGUGUCAUCGCAGCCAGCUCCUCUGGUUUCGCCACAUCUAUAUGCUUUUCUCACGUUAUAUGGUGAUCAAUUCACUCCGCCUUCUGUGAAAGACACAUCGCUCACAACUUCAGGACUAAAAGAAUAAGUGAAAAAAAAAAAAAACAUGCCAGGCCCAGGACUAAGGAAAACUUACAUGCUCAAGAGGACAGGAUUCUCUUUGUGUAGCAUUCUUUCAGACUACAGAAAACAGGCUGUAUGAACUUCCUUCUGAAUAUCUUGUUGCCUGAUACAUUGAGAUGAACAGGGUUUAACAGCUACUCUAUUUUCUCACUGUAGAAGCUUAAAUAGGAUAAGAAAUUUGGAUUAACCUAAUUGGGAGUCAAAUGCACGAGUAAUCUUCAUUAGAGAAGAUAUGGCACAAACUAUUUUUCCCCAAGAGGAUAUAGCUGCGAGGACUGCUUGGUGACUAUCUCUUGGUGCUUUUCUAAAAUCCAGAUAUCACUUCAAAGAUCAUGCUAUCUCCACAGAUAAAACCAGAACCACAAGACCUGUCUUAUUUAGUCAGAACUUUAAAAAGCCAAAGCUUAUGAAUAAAACAUCAGAAAUCCCA